GCCGAAGUAGUUCAGUGGUAGAAUACAACCUUGCCAAGGUUGGGGUCGCGGGUUCGAAUCCCGUCUUCCGCU
rnacentral:tRNA from 1 species